UCCUACCAACUUGGCGGAGGAGCAGAGGCGUUGAUGACGUCAUCGGAAGCCCUUCCUCGAGUCCCUCGAUUUGUUUACAUCCAUUCGCAACCGACCGAAUAAACUUUAGUUUGGUGCGUGAUUUAUUGCCUUCGGUUUACAUAACCUCAAUGUACGUCGGUUGCGUUUUCCACAAGGAAAAUAACCCUCAAUAUACCAAGAAACGGGGAAGUCAGAAACGAAUACGUUAUGCGCGUGAUCAGAAGAGGAAGCUAUGGAUAAAUGACGACAACUUUCGACGACUGCAAAGGGACACGACAAAGGGGAACACGUUAAGUCAUUGAGAUCCAUCAGGAACCAGACUAGUCAAGUAGAAGAAAGCAAUAGUCUCCCUCAUUUGUGUGUACCAUCUACGGUCUACUGAUCAUGCUGCUGAUUAAUGAAAAUCAUUAUUUUAAAGUUACACAAGAUAUGUACUACAAGAUUUGGCAUUUACCAAGAAUCUUUCCAAGUGUUUGCAAAGGUGUGAAUCUGCUGCAAAUGAGCAAUGGAACACUAACCAAGAUUAGCAGCACAAUCACUUAGAUCACAAAGAAUUGGCCAAAUUUUUAUUCAAGAAACAUUACCUAAGAAACUUGUUUCCACAUAUCUCAUUAAUGCUAAGUGUCUCUUAAACAAUCGUUUAUGUGAAUGGCACAUACUAUAAAAUUUUUGGAUGAAGACGAAGACUUGGACCCACUGAAAAUUGUGUGAAACAAAAAUCUGGAAAUGUCGAAUACUGUUAAAGGAAACACUUACGUCAUGUUGAUGGUCAUGAAACGAGUAUCUAUUCGGGACUACAUACUUGAGUCAGAAUAAUUUUUUAAUUUUGUAAAAUUUCAUUUGUAUCAAAUCAUUCUAGCUUAGGUAGAAUAACUGAUUAACGAAUCAAUAAAACAAACCUGCAUUUCAUUAA